rnacentral:rRNA from 1 species
AUUGAACGCUGGCGGAAUGCUUUACACAUGCAAGUCGAACGGUAGAGGGGGCAACCCCUCGAGAGUGGCGAACGGGUGAGUAAUAUAUCGGAACGUGCCCAGUCGUGGGGGAUAACGUAGCGAAAGUUACGCUAAUACCGCAUACGAUCUAAGGAUGAAAGCGGGGGAUCGCAAGACCUCGCGCGAUUGGAGCGGCCGAUAUCAGAUGAGGUAGUUGGUGGGGUAAAGGCUCACCAAGCCAACGAUCUGUAGCUGGUCUGAGAGGACGACCAGCCACACUGGAACGAAGACACGGUCCAGACUCCUACGGGAGGCAGCAGUGGGGAAUUUUGGACAAUGGACGCAAGUCUGAUCCAGCCAUUCCGCGUGCAGGAUGAAGGCCCUCGGGUUGUAAACUGCUUUUGUACGGAACGAAAAGGUCUCUCUUAAUACGGGGGGCUCAUGACGGUACCGUAAGAAUAAGCACCGGCUAACUACGUGCCAGCCGCCGCGGUAA